UAUUGGACAAUGGGCGCAAGCCUGAUCCAGCCAUGCCGCGUGAGUGAUGAAGGCCCUAGGGUUGUAAAGCUCUUUCAACGGUGAAGAUAAUGACGGUAACCGUAGAAGAAGCCGCGGCUAACUUCGUGCCAGCAGCCGCGGUAAUACGAAGGGGGCUAGCGUUGUUCGGAUUUACUGGGCGUAAAGCGCACGUAGGCGGACUAUUAAGUCAGGGGUGAAAUCCCGGGGCUCAACCCCGGAACUGCCUUUGAUACUGGUAGUCUUGAGUUCGAGAGAGGUGAGUGGAAUUCCGAGUGUAGAGGUGAAAUUCGUAGAUAUUCGGAGGAACACCAGUGGCGAAGGCGGCUCACUGGCUCGAUACUGACGCUGAGGUGCGAAAGCGUGGGGAGCAAACAGG
rnacentral:rRNA from 1 species